rnacentral:rRNA from 1 species
GCCGGGGCUCGUCUCGGGUACGUCAUUAUCGUCCCCGGUGAAAGAAUUUUACAAUCCUAAGACCUUCAUCAUUCACGCGGCAUGGCUGCGUCAGGCUUUCGCCCAUUGCGCAAGAUUCCCCACUGCUGCCUCCCGUAGGAGUCCCCCCGUGCCCCCGCCCCGCCCGCCGCGCGCGGCGGGCAGGGCGG